CAUUUCAGUGUGAAACUCGGUCGAGUAAUUUUCGUAGUCGGCUUUAAGUGCGCAAAAAUUUUUAAGUAAAUUAUUCCAUAAUAAAGAAUUCCGCGUAUAUAUUAUUGAAGGAUUUAAAGAGAAAAUUCUAAACGCUUUCUCUGCGUUUUUUUGUGAAAGUGUGUUUUUUAUAAAAAAAGAACAAACAAAAUGUCAGACAGAAAGGCUGUUAUCAAAAAUGCAGAUAUGUCUGAAGAGAUGCAGCAAGAUGCUGUUGAUUGUGCGACUCAAGCUCUGGAAAAGUAUAACAUAGAAAAGGAUAUAGCAGCAUUUAUCAAGAAAGAAUUUGAUAAAAAAUAUAAUCCAACGUGGCACUGCAUCGUAGGACGUAAUUUUGGAAGUUAUGUAACGCAUGAGACAAGACAUUUUAUAUAUUUCUACCUGGGUCAGGUAGCCAUCCUUCUCUUUAAGAGUGGAUAAGCUAAUUUCUAUUCUCACAUCUUUCCUUUCUUCUUUUCUCCUUUUCCUUACUGAUGAUACUAUACAGAACACGAAAUUACCGUACCAUUUGUAAAAACCAACUGCAUUAUGAUGAAUACGAGAUUUGCUUUAAAAAUAGUAAAGCAUACUCCUAACGAACAAAGUAAGUACGUGAAGUCGAAGCUAGGAAUUCACUUGGAGACACCAUGCCGACUAUCCUACACGCACACUACACAAACCAACUAUACUGUGACGUAUAUGAAAGAGCGAACGUCACUAUGCUUCUGACAUGCUUCCACUUGUAAGCAACAAAAAGUUUCAGCUCUGCAUGUAAUCACGUCUCAAUAUACGUUUGUGAGUUAGAAAAUCACCCUGUUCCCAAGAUGCACACAAAAAAAAAUAUAAGUAUUCAACGAAAAUUGUUAAUUUGCGUUAAAUACUAUAAUUAACAGCAUAAUAGAAUAAUUAUAUGGGAAGAAUUGAUUUCUAUUCAUUUAAGUAGAACGUAUGAAAGAAAAAAGAAUAUAUAUAUAAAUAUAUCUAAUUAUUUAGAUAUACAUAAUACAUAUGGUUAUGUAUGCGUGGUGUUAUAUAGUCUUGCGUGAAUCUAGUGGAUUCCUAUCUUUAAGUUCCAAUUAAACAUUCAAUAUCCUGUAUAAAUAUUUACACACAGAAUAGACUAUUUCUUAUUUUGGACGAAGCAAGGAACAUAUGUAUAAUUUCUAGUCCCCCAUUAUAAUACAACACAAUGGACGAAAGUCAAAAUGGAAUGUAAUUUCCUGCGAAUAUGAGAAAAAUUGAUGAAAGUUAUCUUACUAAAAAAAAUGUUAAUGCAUCAAAUGAUUAAACUAUUUCUUUGUUUUUUUCAUUGUAACAUUUCGUUUAGGUUAAGUUAAUUAUACAAGAUUAUUUGUACCAAGAAGAAGAGGAAGAUUUAAAAAAACAACUUGUUAUCAAAUUUUGGUAACUUUUACCAAUAUGUUAGAGAAUAUGCAACACUACAUUAAUGAUAUAUUUGAAUCGUUCGUUUCCUACCUUCACAUAAUAUUUUAUAUUUUACAUCUAACGUCGCUAAAACAAAAAUUUUAAUCUCAUGCCACUUACUCCUAGAAAAUGCUCGAAAUCGUAUCUCUUAUUCUGCCGAUUUUAGUUUGUAUGUAACAUUUAAUACUUCGUAUUAUGGUACUUAUACAUGAUAAAUAAAUAACUAUACAUAC
rnacentral:misc_RNA from 1 species